rnacentral:lncRNA from 1 species
UAUCUCCCGUUUCUGCUUUCAUUGAUCAUUGCCAAGUGACAGCAACACAAGCGUUGAAGCGACUUUCAGCCUCCAAUCAAACAUGAACAUGGGUUGAGAUUCUUUCUGAAUCAAUAUGAUUGUUCAUAUCAGUACAAAAUAAUCUUGCAUUCAGUAGAAGCGUGUAUGUUAAUGGUAAAAAGAACCACAAAGAUUAAUUAGCGGAUAUGGAUGAAUAAAGUACCUGGAGCCGAGGUUGACCGCGACAUGGUGUGGGAAGAGCAUGAAUCUAGUGAAUCAUCCAUCAACUUGCAUUCAGACAUGACCGAAGCUAAAUGUAAUGAACCAGGAACGCUAAAUUUGACUAAUCUUGUUCGUACAAAUCCACAAAAAGAAGCACUACAAAAUAGAAGAAAUGAAAAUAUCAAGGGUGGAUAAAAUGGUAGGAUCACAUCAUAGAAAGGAAAAUCCAAGAAUAGACAUCACUCAAAAUCCCUGACUUGCAAGACUUAAAAGAUAUGGAUGAAUCUUCCAGAAUGUUAUGAAUUGAUGUUUUCUACCUAGGAAAGAAACUUGCAAUGGGGACGAAAGCACAAGACAACGAGAGUAAAAAAACUUCUUGUGACGGCGGGAUGCUUAAUUCUGUAUAGAUAUUGGACUUAAAGAUCGAAGAAUCAUAUUGGAAGAUUUAACCUCACACGCCUGACGCCACUGGCCAUGUAUGCCUCGGUCACUCUCUGUGCUCUCCCGACAUGAGGAGGCAAUGGCUGUCUCACUCUGAGCAUAUUGCCUUCAUACGAUUCUCAUAUAUUUUGAGAUUUCUCACUGCUAAUUAACCUAUUUCGUAAUGCUUCCCAUUGUUCCCGAUAAAUAUUUAUAGCAUAUUAAAGCAUGCAAUAUCUACACACAUAUCUUUUGAACAGAAUCAAAC